rfam:Otolemur garnettii contig068639, whole genome shotgun sequence.
AAGACUAUACUUUCUGGGAUGAUUUCUGUAGUUUGUUACUAGAGAAAUUUCUCUGAAUGUGUAGAGCACCAGAAACUAUGAGAAGGAGGUGCAGGGUUCUCCCCUGAGCAUGAAGCCAGCUUUUGGUGUUGCUUUGCUGCAAAUGCCACUUGCUCUUGAUGAUUGUUCUGGUCAGAAGGAGAACAUAGUUUGAAUGGC